CCUCGGCAAUUAUGGAGACGUUGUUGCUAAUAUCAGAUUUAUCAGUGAUAAUUCAUUCAUAAUGAGCUUUGAGUUACCGAAUGUCGGAGUGGUAUCAGUUAAUCACGCCGUUCUCGACGUAGACUAUAAUAAUUUCGUCAUAUAUUACGAAUGUAGAAAUCAAGGAUCCAGCUACACUACCUCUUACUGGGUCAAGACACGCAGACCGUAUCCAUCAUUCCAGGUUGAAAGCAUGAUUCGUAAUUCAUUGGCAAACCACGGUCUCUCGUAUGGAAGAUUGACUCGAAUCAGUCAACAAAAUUGCUUUAGAAAUAAUUAUUAAUAAUAAUUAUGUCAUUGAAAUUUUGCAACAUGCAUAAUAAAUAAUAAAAUUAAUGAAAUAUAA